UACGGAGGGGGCUAGCGUUGUUCGGAAUUACUGGGCGUAAAGCGCACGUAGGCGGCUUUGUAAGUUAGAGGUGAAAGCCCGGGGCUCAACUCCGGAAUUGCCUUUAAGACUGCAUCGCUAGAAUUGUGGAGAGGUAAGUGGAAUUCCGAGUGUAGAGGUGAAAUGCGUAGAUAUCGGGAGGAACACCAGUGGCGAAGGCGACUACCUGGCCUGUUCUUGACGCUGAGGCGCGAAAGCUAGGGGAGCAAACGGG
rnacentral:rRNA from 1 species